CCAACGGCCCUCUUUAGGGCCACAAACCUCAAUAAUCCAAAUCAUGU
rfam:Caenorhabditis brenneri strain PB2801 C_brenneri-6.0.1_Cont465.1, whole genome shotgun sequence.